rnacentral:misc_RNA from 1 species
AAGUCGUAACAAGGUAACCGUAGGUGAACCUGCGGUUGGAUCAUUAACAAAAUCCAAAACCCACUUUGGCUUCUUUGGGAGAGCUUUACCGCUCUCACUUAGAGGCUGAAACCCACACCAUUGUGAACCUAGAACCUGUACUUUGCAUCUUUUGUUUUUCCUUUUUCUUAUGUUUGCCGGGGUUCCCUUUGGGGAAUUCAGGUUAGAGUAAGAGGCAGUGGAAAACGAGGGGUGCAAAACACUGUUUUACUCCAUUGUAUUUUUUUUUGAACUGAAGUCUUUUUUUUUGCCAUGUCCCACUUGUGGGGAGUAGGUAAAAAGAAAAAAGCUAAUGAGAUAACAACUUUUGACAACGGAUCUCUUGGCUCUC